UACGGAGGGUGCAAGCGUUAAUCGGAAUUACUGGGCGUAAAGCGUGCGUAGGUGGACUAUUAAGUUAUCUGUGAAAUACCUGGGCUCAACCUGGGAGUGUCAGAUAAGACUGGUAGACUAGAGUAGUGGAGAGGGUGGUGGAAUUUCCGGUGUAGCGGUGAAAUGCGUAGAGAUCGGAAGGAACACCGGUGGCGAAGGCGGCUACCUGGCCUAAUACUGACACUGAGGCACGAAAGCGUGGGGAGCAAACAGG
rnacentral:rRNA from 1 species